CAAAAUCAAAAAUAAGAAAAAACAAAACCCUAAACUAGCUGCUGCCGCCUCUGACCCCUGUCCCAUCACCCCAUGCCGGUCAGUCACCCACUUCACCGCCCAAGCUACACCUGCAAGCAUUAAACAGAAAAGACAGAAGCAAGAAAAGAUAAUGUUGUAUUCGGCUAUAUAUAGCCAAACAGAAUGUAAAGAAAGGGAUUUUAUUUUUUUUGGAAUGAAAAAGUUUUAAAAAAAUACAAAACAAAAAAACGAGAAUAGUAGAUAGAGCAUAGACCGAGAAUCAAACAAAAAUAUCAAAAACAAAAUAAGGAAAUUAGAUCAAGAAUCGGGUUACAAAGGUCUAUUUAUCUUAUUUCUUUUUUCGAACUUGCUUGCAUAUAUUAUUUUUACUCUAAUAAAAACAAUACAUAUAUACAUAUUAGAUAAAUAAAUAAUAAAUAAUAAUAAAUGAGAGAAAAAAAUUACCUCCAGGCAAUUUCCGGCCACUGUGUACGGUGGCCGGCACGGCGGACUACAUGACAGCGACCGGUCUGCUACUUGCCGGAUUCUGGGUUGGCAGAAAGAAAAGGGAGAGAGGGUUGAAGGGCCUUUUUCAGUUUUUUUUUUAUUUUGAAG
rnacentral:lncRNA from 1 species